UGGGGAAUAUUGCACAAUGGGCGAAAGCCUGAUGCAGCGACGCCGCGUGAGGGAUGACGGCCUUCGGGUUGUAAACCUCUUUCAGCAGGGACGAAGCGAAAGUGACGGUACCUGCAGAAGAAGCGCCGGCCAACUACGUGCCAGCAGCCGCGGUAAGACGUAGGGCGCGAGCGUUGUCCGGAAUUAUUGGGCGUAAAGAGCUCGUAGGCGGCUUGUUGCGUCGACUGUGAAAACCCGUGGCUCAACCAUGUGGUCUGCAGUCGAUACGGGCAGGCUAGAAUUCGGUAGGGGAGACUGGAAUUCCUGGUGUAGCGGUGAAAUGCGCAGAUAUCAGGAGGAACACCGAUGGCGAAGGCAGGUCUCUGGGCCGAUAUUGACGCUGAGGAGCGAAAGCGUGGGGAGCAAACAGG
rnacentral:rRNA from 1 species